CCUAGACUGUCCAUAUGCGCCCACUUUAUUUUUUUAAAGUAAUUUUUAAACUUUAAACCUUGAAGCUCCUCAAAGAUAAGUUCGUUACGGAUAAGAUGAUGAUCAAUUAUCUUAAUGAUAUACUCUAACUGAACCAAAGCUCACUGAUUCAAAAUUGAACCCUGUAUGAACCAACUAAUAGUAUGAAUUGAUAUGCCCUGUAUCUGAUCAUAUUGGGUCCAAAUUGACACGGGAAUGAGAGAGAAUCGAGGAGGAAGGAAAAAGAGUAAGAGGGUGGAGGGAGGAA
rnacentral:lncRNA from 1 species